UUGCACCUUUCAAGCGAGUGGCGAACGGGUGAGUAACACGUGGAUAACCUGCCUCAAGGCUGGGGAUAACAUUUGGAAACAGAUGCUAAUACCGAAUAAAACUUAGUAUCGCAUGAUAUAAAGUUAAAAGGCGCUACGGCGUCACCUAGAGAUGGAUCCGCGGUGCAUUAGUUAGUUGGUGGGGUAAAGGCUUACCAAGACAAUGAUGCAUAGCCGAGUUGAGAGACUGAUCGGCCACAUUGGGACUGAGACACGGCCCAAACUCCUACGGGAGGCUGCAGUAGGGAAUCUUCCACAAUGGGCGCAAGCCUGAUGGAGCAACGCCGCGUGUGUGAUGAAGGCUUUCGGGUCGUAAAGCACUGUUGUAUGGGAAGAAAUGCUAAAAUAGGGAAUGAUUUUAGUUUGACGGUACCAUACCAGAAAGGGACGGCUAAAUACGUGCCAGCAGCCGCGGUAAUACGUAUGUCCCGAGCGUUAUCCGGAUUUAUUGGGCGUAAAGCGAGCGCAGACGGUUGAUUAAGUCUGAUGUGAAAGCCCGGAGCUCAACUCCGGAAUGGCAUUGGAAACUGGUUAACUUGAGUGUUGUAGAGGUAAGUGGAACUCCAUGUGUAGCGGUGGAAUGCGUAGAUAUAUGGAAGAACACCAGUGGCGAAGGCGGCUUACUGGACAACAACUGACGUUGAGGCUCGAAAGUGUGGGUAGCAAACAGGAUUAGAUACCCUGGUAGUCCACACCGUAAACGAUGAAUACUAGGUGUUAGGAGGUUUCCGCCUCUUAGUGCCGAAGCUAACGCAUUAAGUAUUCCGCCUGGGGAGUACGACCGCAAGGUUGAAACUCAAAGGAAUUGACGGGGACCCGCACAAGCGGUGGAGCAUGUGGUUUAAUUCGAAGCAACGCGAAGAACCUUACCAGGUCUUGACAUCCUUUGAAGCUUUUAGAGAUAGAAGUGUUCUCUUCGGAGACAAAGUGACAGGUGGUGCAUGGUCGUCGUCAGCUCGUGUCGUGAGAUGUUGGGUUAAGUCCCGCAACGAGCGCAACCCUUAUUGUUAGUUGCCAGCAUUCAGUUGGGCACUCUAGCGAGACUGCCGGUGACAAACCGGAGGAAGGCGGGGACGACGUCAGAUCAUCAUGCCCCUUAUGACCUGGGCUACACACGUGCUACAAUGGCGUAUACAACGAGUUGCCAACCUGCGAAGGUGAGCUAAUCUCUUAAAGUACGUCUCAGUUCGGACUGCAGUCUGCAACUCGACUGCACGAAGUCGGAAUCGCUAGUAAUCGCGGAUCAGCACGCCGCGGUGAAUACGUUCCCGGGUCUUGUACACACCGCCCGUCACACCAUGGGAGUUUGUA
rnacentral:rRNA from 1 species